GUCGGGUAAGCGCAGGAGAUGUAGAGGCCGCUCUCACGAGUGGCAGCCUGUAAUGGGUGGGAUCCUCGGUUCCUGGGACCCUUCAACUU
rnacentral:sRNA from 12 species